CAGCAGCCGCGGGAAUACGUAGGGUCCGAGCGUUGUCCGGAAUUAUUGGGCGUAAAGAGCUCGUAGGCGGUCUGUCGCGUCUGCCGUGAAAUCCUCAGGCUCAACCUGAGGCGUGCGGUGGGUACGGGCAGGCUAGAGUGCGGUAGGGGAGAAUGGAACUCCUGGUGUAGCGGUGGAAUGCGCAGAUAUCAGGAAGAACACCGAUGGCGAAGGCAGUUCUCUGGGCCGUAACUGACGCUGAGGAGCGAAAGCGUGGGGAGCGAACAGGAUUAGAUACCCCUGUAGUCCCUGUCUCUUAUAC
rnacentral:rRNA from 1 species